AUUGAACGCUGGCGGAAUGCUUUACACAUGCAAGUCGAACGGCAGCACGGACUUCGGUCUGGUGGCGAGUGGCGAACGGGUGAGUAAUGUAUCGGAACGUGCCCAGUCGUGGGGGAUAACGUAGUGAAAAUUACGCUAAUACCGCAUACGAUCUAUGGAUGAAAGCGGGGGAUCGCAAGACCUCGCGCGGUUGGAGCGGCCGAUAUCAGAUUAGGUAGUUGGUGGGGUAAAGGCCCACCAAGCCAACGAUCUGUAGCUGGUCUGAGAGGACGACCAGCAACACUGGAACUGAGACACGGUCCAGACUCCUACGGGAGGCAGCAGUGGGGAAUUUUGGACAAUGGGCGAAAGCCUGAUCCAGCCAUUCCGCGUGCAGGAUGAAGGCCCUCGGGUUGUAAACUGCUUUUGUACAGAACGAAAAGGUUUCUACUAAUACUAGGAGCUCAUGACGGUACUGUAAGAAUAAGCACCGGCUAACUACGUGCCAGCGGCCGCCGUAA
rnacentral:rRNA from 1 species